rnacentral:misc_RNA from 1 species
CGCACCUUGCGCCCUUUGGUAUUCCGAAGGGCAUGCCUGUUUGAGUGUCAUUAAAUUCUCAACCUUGCUCGCUUUUACUAGCUUGAGUGAGGCUUGGAUGUGAGGGCUUUGCUGGCUUCCUUCAGUGGAUGGUCUGCUCCCUUUAAAUGCAUUAGUGGGAUCUCUUGUGGACCGUCACUUGGUGUGAUAAUUAUCUAUGCCUCGUUGACUUUGAAGCAAAACUAUGGGAACCUGCUUAUAGAACCUGCUUAUAACCGUCUCGCAAGGGACAACUCUGACAUUUUGACCUCAAAUCAGGUAGGACUACCCGCUGAACUUAA